GAACAAGUAAUUAAGGGCAUAUGGUGGAUGCCUUGGCACCAAGAGGCGAUGAAGGACGUAGGAGCCUGCGAUAAGCUCCGGUGAGCUGGCAAGCGAGCGUUGACCCGGAGAUGUCCGAAUGGGGAAACCCGGCACAGUUCAUACUGUGUCACCCGCAAGGGAGCCAACGCAGGGAACUGAAACAUCUCAGUACCUGCCGGAAAGGAAAUCAAGUCAGAGACUCCCUUAGUAGUGGCGAGCGAAAGGGGAAGAGCCCAAACUGAGUCAGUGUAAGCCUGCCGGCGUUGCUGACUCGGGGUUGGGGUUUCAGCGUGUACCACGGCAGCGGUACGACGGAGUGAGCAAGUCUGAUCGUAGUGGAAGCAUCUGGGAAGGUGCGGCGUAGAGGGUGAGACCCCCGUACACGAAACGAACAGACCUCCGGCUGAGGACCUGAGUAUCUCGGGGCACGAGAAACCCCGAGAGAAGCUGGGAGGACCAUCUUCCAAGGCUAAGUACUAUCUGGUGACCGAUAGUGAACGAGUACCGUGAGGGAAAGGUGAAAAGGACCCCGAGAGGGGAGUGAAAAGACCCUGAAACCAUAUGCCUACAAACAGUGGGAGCCGCAAGGUGACCGCGUACCUCUUGCAUAAUGAGUCAGCGAGUUGUGUGUCGCAGCGAGGUUAAGCCGUUAGGUGAAGCCGUAGGGAAACCGAGUCUGAAAAGGGCGAUAGUUGCGGCGUGCAGACCCGAAGCCAGGUGAUCUAUCCAUGACCAGGGCGAAGCGUUGGUAAAACUUCGUGGAGGCCCGAACCCACAAAAGUUGAAAAUUUUGGGGAUGAGUUGUGGAUCGGAGUGAAAGGCUAAUCAAACCUGGAGAUAGCUGGUUCUCCCCGAAAUGCAUUUACGUGCAGCGUCGGGUGGUCUCCGUUGGUGGUAGAGCUCUGAAAGGGCUAGGGGCCGCAAGGCUACCAAACCCUAUCAAACUCUGAAUCUCGAUGAGUGACGACUGGCAGUGAGACGGCGGGAGAUAAGUUUCGUCGUCAAGAGGGAAAGAGCCCAGACUGUCGGCUAAGGUCCCCAAAUCUACGCUAAGUGGUCAAGGAUGUGGGACAACCCAGACAAUCAGGAGGUUGGCUUAGAAGCAGCCACCCUUUGAAGAAAGCGUAAUAGCUCACUGAUCGAGUUGUCCUGCGCCGUAAAUAUAACGGGGCUAAGCGUAGUACCGAAGCCGCAGCAUCGCGCAAGCGAUGGGUAGGGGAGCGUUCCAGAUGGGGUGAAGGCGAUUCGUGAGGGUCGUUGGACUGUCUGGAAGUGAGAAUGCUGACAUGAGUAGCGAUAAAACGGGUGAAAAACCCGUUCGCCGGAAGCCCAAGGGUUCCUGUCCAAGGAUCAUCCGGGCAGGGUUAGUCGGCCCCUAAGACGAAGCAGAAAUGCGUAGCCGAUGGGAGACGGGUUAAUAUUCCCGUACCACUGACACAGAGCAGAGCGGGGACGGAGAAGGGUAGGGUAGCCACCUGAUGGAUGGUGGUUCAAUCCAGUAGGCUGUCUGCUUAGGAAUAAAACGAGCGGAUAAGGCCGAGAGGGUACGUCGAAGAGACUUCGGUCUCGAAGUACCUGAUGCCAUGCUUCCAAGAAAAGCCGCGGGCUGCGAUGAAGUGUUGGUGACCGUACCGCAAACCGACUCAGGUGGGCAGGUGGAGAACACCGAGGCGCUAAGGGAGAACACUGGUUAAGGAACCAGGCAAAUUAAUACCGUAACUUCGGGAUAAGGUAUGCCAGUUAGGUGAAGGGCCUGCGCCUGGAGCCAAGACUGGUCACAGCAAAGCGGCGGUAGCGACUGUUUACCAAAAACACAGGUCUCUGCAAAGUCGUAAGACGAUGUAUAGGGGCUGACGCCUGCCCGGUGCCGGAAGGUUAAGAGGAGCUGUCAGCGCAAGCAAAGCAGCGAAUUGAAGCCCCGGUAAACGGCGGCCGUAACUAUAACGGUCCUAAGGUAGCGAAAUUCCUUGUCGGGUAAGUUCCGACCUGCACGAAAGGCGUAACGACUUCCGCGCUGUCUCAACCAGUGGCCCUGCGAAAUUGACGUUGGGGUGAAGAUGCCCCAUACCCGCAGAAAGACGGAAAGACCCUGUGAACCUUUACUCCUAGCUUGGCAGUGACAUUCGACAUUAUCUGUGUAGCAUAGGUGGGAGGCGUUGAGUUCGGCGCGCUAGCGUCGAAGGAGCCACCGUUGAAAUACCACCCUGAUGAUGUUGGCUGUCUAACUUCGAAAGAAGGACACUGCCUGGUGGGGAGUUUGACUGGGGCGGUCGCCUCCCAAACAGUAACGGAGGCGCGCGAUGGUUCUCUCAGCCUGAUCGGAAACCAGGCGUAGAGUGCAAAGGCAUAAGAGAGCUUGACUGCGAGACGGACACGUCGAGCAGGUUCGAAAGAGGCCUUAGUGAUCCGGCGGUCCCAUAUGGAAGGGCCGUCGCUCAACGGAUAAAAAGGUACUCCGGGGAUAACAGGCUUAUCACGCCCAAGAGUUCACAUCGACGGCGUGGUUUGGCACCUCGAUGUCGGCUCGUCGCAUCCUGGGGCUGGAGCAGGUCCCAAGGGUUUGGCUGUUCGCCAAUUAAAGCGGCACGCGAGCCGGGUUCAAAACGUCGUGAGACAGUUUGGUCCCUAUCUUCUGUGGGCGUUGGAGAGUUGAGAGGAUCUGUCCUUAGUACGAGAGGACCGGGAUGGACACACCUCUGGUGUUCCGGUUGUCGCGCCAGCGGCACUGCCGGGUAGCUAAGUGUGGACGGGAUAACCGCUGAAAGCAUCUAAGUGGGAAACCCCCCUCAAGAUUAGCUCUCCCCAAAGGACCCAGGUAGACUACCUGGUCGAUAGGCAGGACGUGUAAUCGCAGCAAUGCGUUCAGCGAACCUGUACUAAUUGUCCGUUCGGCUUGUUCUA
rnacentral:rRNA from 1 species